UUAUUUGAGAGUUUGAUCCUGGCUCAGGACGAACGCUGGCGGCGUGCCUAAUACAUGCAAGUUGAGCGCUGAAGGUUGGUACUUGUACCGACUGGAUGAGCAGCGAACGGGUGAGUAACGCGUGGGGAAUCUGCCUUUGAGCGGGGGACAACAUUUGGAAACGAAUGCUAAUACCGCAUAAAAACUUUAAACACAAGUUUUAAGUUUGAAAGAUGCAAUUGCAUCACUCAAAGAUGAUCCCGCGUUGUAUUAGCUAGUUGGUGAGGUAAAGGCUCACCAAGGCGAUGAUACAUAGCCGACCUGAGAGGGUGAUCGGCCACAUUGGGACUGAGACACGGCCCAAACUCCUACGGGAGGCAGCAGUAGGGAAUCUUCGGCAAUGGACGAAAGUCUGACCGAGCAACGCCGCGUGAGUGAAGAAGGUUUUCGGAUCGUAAAACUCUGUUGGUAGAGAAGAACGUUGGUGAGAGUGGAAAGCUCAUCAAGUGACGGUAACUACCCAGAAAGGGACGGCUAACUACGUGCCAGCAGCCGCGGUAAUACGUAGGUCCCGAGCGUUGUCCGGAUUUAUUGGGCGUAAAGCGAGCGCAGGUGGUUUAUUAAGUCUGGUGUAAAAGGCAGUGGCUCAACCAUUGUAUGCAUUGGAAACUGGUAGACUUGAGUGCAGGAGAGGAGAGUGGAAUUCCAUGUGUAGCGGUGAAAUGCGUAGAUAUAUGGAGGAACACCGGUGGCGAAAGCGGCUCUCUGGCCUGUAACUGACACUGAGGCUCGAAAGCGUGGGGAGCAAACAGGAUUAGAUACCCUGGUAGUCCACGCCGUAAACGAUGAGUGCUAGAUGUAGGGAGCUAUAAGUUCUCUGUAUCGCAGCUAACGCAAUAAGCACUCCGCCUGGGGAGUA
rnacentral:rRNA from 1 species